rnacentral:tRNA from 1 species
GGGCGGUUAGCUCAGCGGUAGAGCACUGCCUUCACACGGCAGGGGUCACUGGUUCGAUACCAGUAUCGCCCACCA